GACGAACGCUGGCGGCGUGCCUAACACAUGCAAGUCGAACGGAGCUGCCCUUCGGGACAGCUUAGUGGCGAACGGGUGAGUAACGCGUGAGGAACCUGCCUCUCAGUGGGGGACAACAGUUGGAAACGACUGCUAAUACCGCAUAAUGUUUCCGGACCGCAUGAUCUGGAAACCAAAGAUUUAUUGCUGAGAGAUGGCCUCGCGUCUGAUUAGCUAGUUGGUGGGGUAACGGCCCACCAAGGCGACGAUCAGUAGCCGGUCUGAGAGGAUGAACGGCCACAUUGGGACUGAGAUACGGCCCAG
rnacentral:rRNA from 1 species